AACGAACGCUGGCGGCGUGCCUAAUACAUGCAAGUCGAGCGAGAAAGUCCGAUUUCGGUUGGAUGAGUACAGCGGCGAACGGGUGAGUAACACGUGGACAAUCUGCCCUUGAGACCGGGAUAAGCUUUCGAAAGGAGGUCUAAUACCGGAUAACACUGCGAAGUGGCAUCGCUUUGCAGUCAAAGGCGGGGCAACCUGUCGUUUGAGGAUGAGUCCGCGUUCCAUUAGCUUGUUGGUGAGGUAACGGCCCACCAAGGCUACGAUGGAUAGCCGACCUGAGAGGGUGACCGGCCACACUGGGACUGAGAUACGGCCCAGACUCCUACGGGAGGCAG
rnacentral:rRNA from 1 species